rnacentral:rRNA from 1 species
AGAGUUUGAUCCUGGCUCAGGAUGAACGCUAGCUACAGGCUUAACACAUGCAAGUCGAGGGGAAACGAUAUUGGAAGCUUGCUUCCGAUAGGCGUCGACCGGCGCACGGGUGAGUAACGCGUAUCCAACCUGCCCACCACUUGGGGAUAACCUUGCGAAAGUAAGACUAAUACCCAAUGAUAUCUCUAGAAGACAUCUGAAAGAGAUUAAAGAUUUAUCGGUGAUGGAUGGGGAUGCGUCUGAUUAGCUUGUUGGUGGGGUAACGGCCACCAAGGCGACGAUCAGUAGGGGUUCUGGAGAGGAACGGUCCCCCANACUUGGAACUGAGACACGGUCCAAACUCCUACGGGAGGCA